GGGGGGCGGGCGGAGAGGGGAUUUGGGAUCGUGCGCUCGGGGCUUAGGGGUGUGAGUGGCNNNGCUAGCGGCUGCGCUGGGUUGGGGCGCCGGCGGGCAUCGCCGGCGGCGGCGGCGUGUACUGGUACCACUGAGGAGCGCGGGGGCUCGGCGGCGGCGUCCUGGUCCUGCUCCUCUACGAACACGGUGUUGUCCUUCACCUCCAGAAACUCCCCGGCGUCGGCUACCUUCUUAGGUACGGUCGACAACUGUUACUUUCAAACGGACUACGUAGUUGAAGGUCUAAAUGUACCUUCUAACUUUCAUAUAGGUUCGUGUCACCAUCUUUUUGGGUGAGACUAUAAAAACACCAACCCCCAAUGUCGACCGCUCACAACCAAAAGGGGUGUCCUUUGUUACAUUUAGUGGAAAGUUACAUAGACCUACAACGACUACGGUUCAGAAAUGGAUAACCGACCUCAUCCUCACGGGUUAAAUCGGAACGACACUAGUUGGUUAAUCUGUCGUUCGUGAGUCAUUCUUUUCUUCAUUGUGUAUGUAAAUUAAGAGCUCUUUCACUAACCCCAAAAUGCAGGAAAUACGGAAAUUAACUAGAUAUACUAGGAUCAUUUCCAAUAUAACACUUGCUAGUUACGUAGUAACUUCGACUCCAACGACACGCAUUUUAACACCUAAUGACCUUGAUGCUGAGUUUUUUCCUCUGACCAAUACAACCAGAGUUCUUAGUUCCACGGUGAACAAUGUACUUAAGCGACGAGGUCUGUGAGAUGGUAUAAGGGAUGAAAUCCUUCCGACACAUGGUAUACGGAUGACAGCUAUGUGGAAGUCCCUCGUAAGGAAAUCGAAACGUUUCAGAAAAGAUGUCUGAAGUCGUACCACUGUUAUCAUAAAGGUGUUUUCUCGACUGAUUUAGAAAACCUACCCUAAGGAUACUCAGCAAAUACGUCGUACUACAGGUUCUCAACUUAGCCCAAGAUACACUUUUCGACCUUCUAUUUUACUUCCCUUGAUAACACCUUCCUUGUUAUGUUUUUAAUAAACUUCCAGUGGUAUACUUAAUAUAACUCACGUAACCACAACUGAUGUUUAGAUGAUCUUUUCUCAGUAAGAUACUAGAGCGUGAACUACAGUUCCCGACGAGCCUACAAAUACGUAGAAAACUAUUCAUACAUCGACAUCUCUACAACCUACCACUAUUAUUCAUAGUUAGACUUUUUAUGCCGGACGUCCUACGGUUCUUUCCCUACGAAAAAUAACUAAAGGGAGGUCAAGACGUUGAAGUUGACUUCGCCAAACUUAUACUAGUACGUGCCCUAUAUUACCAAUUCUAUUUGCUGGCAAUACUCAAGGGUGAAGUCAACCUAGAACUGUCUCUACUGCCCUUUAUAGAGAGAGGUCUUCGACUAUCCUCACACGCGUUGGAGAUAUGAGAAGUGUCACACGAUCAAGUGUCACCACCUCAAUCACCACCUGUGAUGAUACGGAAGUAGGCGGGAUGGGAAAGAUUAGUUACCAUGUUCAAGCUACUACUUGCUCACUGUUUUCUUCUGGACUUUGCCCGCAACCUCCUCGUCAUACCACCGCUCCUUCUCGAGGGGGUAUGAUUAGGACCUGACUUAUACUUGGGUGAAUUUAAAUGGUUCAUAAGUUUACGAAUGUACGAACACAUGUAUGCACUUUCACUGUUUCUCUUUUAACAAACACUAAACCUUCUCUGUCUGUAGUUACUUCUGGAAUUCUGAUCCGAUUCUUUCCUUCUGCUUCUGUUUCUCUUGUUCUUUUUUCUCUUUCGACUCCGAGUGUACAAGUGGUGUAAAUUCCACCGGUCUCUAGUACUAAACCGUCGUGUUUAACCUGCUCUGAACAAAAAACUAGAGCACCUAAUACUUUUUUAAGUAGGAUAGGCACAUGAAUUUCUGUACGGUAAGUUGGUCCAAUUCCUCCUCAAGAGCUUUCUUAAACCAUAGGGGCAGGUGAGGGUCUCUAAAACCACCACCAGAUUCGCCGUCUUGUUGUGGAUGUCCGGGUGAGCCGGUAAUUGAGUUGUCCUCCUUAGUAUAUGACAACCUGUCGAAUUUCUACGUCGUUAAGCUUACUUGUCAAGACUUAACUCCAACAUGAACCUCCAACAUGUCCUCUUAGUAAACUGAGAACGAAGCUCCUGUUUCCUACUAUAAAACGAAAAGAAGUUCGAGAUACUGGGACUUUUUCUUCUUGAUUCUAUACAACCCUUAGAAGAGAACUUUCGUAGUUCAUUCGGUAGACUAUAUCACGGUUUUAACUUGCUCUAUCGUCCUAAAGUCGUGCUACUUCUGUAACUCAACAUGCUCCUUUAUUUUAAACUCGGUUUAUAAUACACACUUGGUCAACUGACACUACAAAGGAAGUCAAAUUUGGUCUAACGUCUACCUCUGUAUAACACGAUGGUUUUUGCAACAAGAGACCUGGUUGUGGCUGUAGGGUUACAUAGAAGAAAGAAACUUAUACAGGUAUUAUCUGUCCAACACGUGAAGUCUAACGAACUUUUCGGUUUUGUUCUGCUGAAGAGAGAUCUUGAUAGUUUUGCAAGGUGUAUACUACUACAACAACUCUUUCAACGUGUUGUAGAACCAUACCUACUAGGAAGUUUUGAGGCGGAAUGAGUCGUGUAGGGAGUAAAUGUCGUUGGCUUUGUAGUUAUGUAGUUCAUAUCUUCAUAACUAGUAGAAAGCCUGUACAAUGAAAAUGCAUUGGGGUUAGUCUACAGACUGUAAAAUAUAAUACUUUAUGACCUGUAAGGAAACGGUCUUGACGUUCCAGACUAUUGUAACUCUCAACGAAAAGUGGUUCGAUGUGGAUUACUCCACGACAAAGUGUAAUAUGCUAACGGUUUCCCAUCGUGAAUAAGACUAAACUAGCUGCUGAAUUUUAGUUUCCAAGUCGAUAGAGCUUCACUACGACUCGAAUCCGAUAAAGUCCAGUUGUUAUUGUUCUAUACCUUCCACAUGGACGGAUGACUCUUUUAUCUACGUCAAGUACUAGGUUUACAUGGAGAAGUACAACUCCUCUAAGGACUUCAUCUCUUUUCACGGCCAGGCGCUCUGGCAAACCAAGUACAGCAGGUGAAGAAGUUUCUAUUGGUCGUGUAAGUUAUGAUACCUGACGGUAAGAAGAAGGAAUAAGCACUCCCACUCCGAAACAGUCUAUAGUUUCACGCGUAAGUUUUCUUUAAACUCCAAGGUCUGCUCGUCAAAGAAUUCACCUUUAAACGAAUACAACGGAUGUUAGCGGGCCUAAUGGAAGUUCUAAGUCUAUAACACAACUCGGCUAAGGUCUUUUUGUAAAUACCUGGUACCCUUGUUAGGGAUCCUGACCUCGUGAGUCUGUACGGGUGGUUUUCCCGGUUAGUCUUAGCGGUAAGAAAACUUUUCGGCCACUUCUAGAUGUUGAUUUCUACGGCUAUAAAAGUCAAGACUGGACUGCCAAAGAGAUUUGCUUACCCGUUCUUGUGGUUACAAUAAAUGCGUGUGGGACGUCUACUUCACCGCCGUUUUAGGUACUGGUACUACACGAAAACUGGGCCAUCAAUAUGUCUACAUCAUGGCCGACAACUCUCCCACGACACGACUCAAUAAUAAACAAACCUCCCCUGCAACGUAUGUCGCCUACAUAACACCGAACAGCUUUCCUUUAAUUGUAAACCAACCGACAUGUCACUAACUAUCUUGAAAAAACGAAUCUAGUUAAAUUGAAACAUUCGACACAUAAAACGUCACUUAAAAACGUGAGCCAACUAAGACACCAGCAACGGAAUCGAUAUUUUAUAAGACACGCUGAGCAGGUUUAUGGUUAGAAGAAAUUUUGGGUUCCAAAUUAGAAAACCAACGAAACAAC
rnacentral:rRNA from 1 species